AAAUAAGUGAAUGAUCUAGCAAAACAAAAAAAUAAAAGAAAGCAAAAAGGCAACUCCGGUAUAGGUGACCCUCACAAAGUCAUUUAAACCAAAGAAUUGUAAAAAUUUGCUACAAAAAGAAAAAGAAAAAGAAAAAGAAAAAGAAAAAGAAAAAGAAAAACUUACCCACUGUUAGUUGGUUCAGAGGUAUCUGACACUGAACUCGGUAGGACGGAUUACGA
rnacentral:lncRNA from 1 species